AGCUAAGAGCACAUACUGUACACAGGCUAAGACAGGACAGGUGCCAUGUUGCACCAAGAACCCAGACAAAAGCAUGGAGUGCGAAGUGCGACACGUUUAUUUGGCAGGAUUGUAAUUAAUCACAUUUCUCUCCAGAAACAAAAGUAAAGAAAGAAAAUUCUACAAUUUAAAAAAGACAAAAAUGAGAAGUACCGUAAAAGUUCCCCCCACACUCCAGCAGCACCAGGGCUUGGGUGGCAGAAAGUGCCUCUUUGAGCAGCUUAAGGGAACAGUAACAUCACAAAAAAAUGUGAUUUAAAGUAAUAAAAAUAUAAUGCAGUGUUGCCCUGCACUGGUAAAACUGGUGGGUUUGCUUCAGAAACUCUACUAUUGUUUAUAUAAAUAAGCUGCUGUGUAUCAAUAGGGGCGGCCAUUCAAUGGAGAAAAGGCUCAGGUUACACAGCAGAUAAGCUCUGUAGAACAUGAUGUUAUCUUAAAUACAUAAUUGGUCGGUAUAUAAUGCCCCCAGGAAACACUCACAGACCCCCCCCCCACAA